GAUGAACGCUGGCGGCGUGCUUAACACAUGCAGGUCGAACGGAAAGGCCCAAGCUUGCUUGGGUACUCGAGUGGCGAACGGGUGAGUAACACGUGGGUGAUCUGCCCUGCACUUCGGGAUAAGCCUGGGAAACUGGGUCUAAUACCGGAUAGGACGAUGGUUUGGAUGCCAUUGUGGAAAGUUUUUUCGGUGUGGGAUGAGCUCGCGGCCUAUCAGCUUGUUGGUGGGGUAAUGGCCUACCAAGGCGUCGACGGGUAGCCGGCCUGAGAGGGUGUACGGCCACAUUGGGACUGAGAUACGGCCCAGACUCCUACGGGAGGCAGCAGUGGGGAAUAUUGCACAAUGGGCGCAAGCCUGAUGCAGCGACGCCGCGUGGGGGAUGACGGCCUUCGGGUUGUAAACUCCUUUCGCUAGGGACGAAGCGUUUUUGUGACGGUACCUGGAGAAGAAGCACCGGCUAACUACGU
rnacentral:rRNA from 1 species